CGCGUAGGCGGGCUAUCAAGUCUGGGGUGAAAUCCCGCGGCUCAACCGUGGAACUGCCUCAGAUACUGACGGCCUCGAGGGAGGUAGGGGCAUGCGGAACUGUAGGUGGAGCGGUGAAAUGCGUUGAUAUCUACAGGAACUCCGGUGGCGAAAGCGGCGUGCUGGACCUCUUCUGACGCUGAGGCGCGAAAGCUAGGGGAGCAAACG
rnacentral:rRNA from 1 species